rnacentral:rRNA from 1 species
UACGUAGGAGACAAACGUUAUCCGGAGUUACUGGGCGUAAAGGGCGUGUAGGUGGUUGCGUAAGUCUGGCGUGAAAUUUUUCGGCUUAACCGGGAAAGGUCGUCGGAUACUGCGUAGCUAGAGGACGGUAGAGGCGUGUGGAAUUCCGGGUGUAGUGGUGAAAUGCGUAGAGAUCCGGAGGAACACCAGUGGCGAAGGCGACACGCUGGGCCGUACCUGACACUGAUGCGCGACAGCAUGGGGAGCAAACAGG